GUCACCCGUUGCUGGGCAGAGAAUCUGGUAUUUGCAUCUCCCAAUCGCUGCCUGCCGAAGCGGGGCGGGGCUCGGGCUGCGGGGCUGGGCGGUCUCGCGGCUGGGAUUGGGGGUGUCGGAUGAGGUCGGUUUCUUUUCUUAGGUUUAGGAAGAGCGGGAGGGUGGGGAGACGCCGAGCGUGCUUCCCUAUCUGGCUCCGAAAGCUUGUCCCCGCCCCGCGCAGCUUUUGAAAUUUUAGCUUACUCAGUGACACCUGCCGCCAGGCUCCACGAAAGUCCUGAGAAAGAAGGGAAUAUGACGCCCACUUCCAGACAGUACACCCUCUCAUUGCCUGCAGAGCUUCACUUGGAGCACGAGGGCAGAGCAGCAAUUCCAUGAGAUCAGAGGACCCACCUGAUCUCCACUCUCCCCAGCACCUAGCAGAUCUUGGUGCAACACAUCUCAGUAUCUGUUCAAUGAGGAAGGAGCCAACUCAGGUUUGGGCGUGGCUGUCCCAGACACCAUCAUGCAACUCUACCCACCCCAGCUGUACCUAGCUCCAAAACAUCAGACUCUGAACUGGCAUGGUCCUCAAAGAUGUUCAUAAUAGAGAAAACAAUAUGAACAAGGUAAUUUGGUUUUUGAUUCAUCUAAGUGUCUU